UUUGGAUGAACAAUUUAUACAUUUAUUUGCAUGUCAGUAUAAGUUAACUUGGUCAAGAAUCAUUCAGUGAAUGAAAGUGAAGCGCAACAGGACUGUUUGGAUUUUUAA